CCAUAAUAUAACCGCUGUAAUUGAUCCAAAAUCUCCAUAAAAGACAGUUAGGUAGCCACCAAAAGUGGAAUCUAUAAAACCGCAGAUUUCCCUCAAACACCUCGCCAAAACAACCGCCAAUGAAGCCGGAAAACCAAGAAAUCGCAGCUCAAGCGCCGCUUCUGUCAACGGCGGCGGCGCGCCAGUCAUCGUCGUCGUCGAUAGAGAGCCAGAAAGCGGAGGGUGGGUCAAUAAGUGGCGCGAUAUUCAACGUGUCGACGGGCAUGGUGGGCGCGGGGAUUAUGUCAGUCCCUGCAACUUUCAAGGUGCUGGGCGUGAUUCCCAGCUUGUUUGUGAUACUGGUGGUGGCGUAUUUCGUGGAGGUGACGGUGGAUUUCCUCUUGAAGUAUAGCAACUGCGGCGAGACGGAUUCGUAUGGGGGAUUGAUGGCUGAGUCUUUUGGGAAAGUUGGGUCCAUGGCUCUUCAGAUUUGUGUCAUGAUUACUAACCUGGGUGCCCUUAUUAUUUACUUAAUCAUCAUUGGAGAUGUCCUCUCAGGAAAUGAUUCUGAUGGAUCACUGCACCUUGGUGUCCUACAGCAAUGGUUUGGCAUCCAUUGGUGGACCUCACGGGCGUUUUCCGUCCUUGUUGUGGUGCUUUUUGUUUUGCUUCCCUUGCUUUGUUUACGGCGUAUAGAUUCACUUAGACAUGCAUCAGCAAUAUCCAUUCUGCUAGCGGUGCUUUUUGUUGCCAUAUGCUCGGGAAUGGCAAUAUAUUAUGUGUGUAAAGGGAAGACGGGAAGUUUAAGACUUUUUCCCGAUUUUGCAAAUGGAGUCUCUUUCUUUGAUCUCUUCACUACCAUUCCAGUGUUUGCCACAGCCUUUGGAUGCCAUGUAAACGUUCAUCCAGUCAGAGCAGAACUCGGUAGGCCAUCGGAUAUGACCUCAGCAGUGCGGAUAUCGUUAGUGCUAUGUGUUGCCAUUUAUUUUGCUGUGGGCUUCUUUGGUUAUCUGCUAUUUGGGGACGCAAUCAUGGCAGAUAUGCUUGUCAAUUUCGACCAAAAUUCCGAUUCCUUCAUUGGCACAUUGCUUAACAUCAUUGUUCGGUUGAGUUAUGCAGUUCACCUCAUGUUGGUGUUUCCUGUCAUGAACUAUUCUCUUAGGGUUAAUGUGGAUGAAUUAUUAUUCCCGAAAGGGCCUCUGUUGUCCACAGAAACCGUGAGGUUUUUAUCGCUCACCGGUGUUCUUCUUGCGUUCAUGUAUCUAGCUGCAAUUGCCAUUCCGAACAUAUGGUACUUCUUUCAAUUCAUGGGAACAACCACCGUCAUGUGCCUCAUGUUCAUAUUCCCCAGCUCAAUAAUUCUUAGAGACGUUCACAAUAUAAGUACUAAGUGGGAUAAGAUGUUGGCAGUAUUGGUCAUCGUGCUCUCAGUCGGGACUAGUCUAACAGCCAUUUACUCUAAUGUAUCAACCUAUAUUAUCAAGAAGUGACCGGUUUUCGCGGUUUGAAAACAUUUCUAGGGAAAAAAAAUUGCAGAGAGCCGUUUUUUGCCAGCCUCUCACAGUAUCAGGUUGAGAAAGUAUAGAUGAACAGAUACUACAAUGUAAUAGGGUCAGUACGACUCACCUCUGCAAUAACCAUUUCGCCUCUGUAAACUCUGAAUGACUGAGAAGAGUAGCAUCCGAUGACCUGAAAAUCGGGGACAUCUGCCCUCACGUUCCCUGGCAAGAACACAUCCAAACGCGUUUUCAUCUGUAACGGAUGAGAACGUUGCACGCUGUAGAGAAGGCUGCCCGCGUCUGAGCUUUCCCCGCGGUGGACUGUCCACCUGUGCCUGCACGACAGCGCCUUCUCUCGCAGCGUGACGACAGGGAAUCCCGCAGGGUCGAGCAUGAUGCGCUUCUUGUUGAGUUGCCAGAGGCUGCCCCGCGUUUGGAAGAGGAGAUUUCCAGUCACAUCCCGAACAUCAACACGAGUAUCAGACAAGCAUCUCAUCGCCUUCUUCACACUCAGGUCUAUCAGGAAAAUGAGGAGACUGCACGCGGUUCCUUGUAUCAUCAUCCCAGAAGACAUUCAUAUUCAUAUAAUUAAUGGAAUUAUGAAGGCCUAAUCCACAGAAUUCUUGGUUGGUCUAUCAUCCAUACAUAUUUAACUAGAUUUGCUUAUGUCACCAAAUAUGAGUACAAGAAAUCUAGGAUACAUAGGAACUUUUAUAAUGUUAUUCAACAUUGAUAGGGUCUUCAAACUAUUUAGUUCAACUUGCAUAAAUUUUCACUAGGGGAAUUUUUAGUGUUGUGUUGUAUAUAUGUAUGGUUUUUGUAACAUUGAUGUUAUGGGAACUUUUGAAGUGUUGUGUUGUAUCUAGUAUUAAAACGUAGAGUUAAUUAUUGAAAUGGUCCAUUGAUUAUAGUGAAA